rnacentral:rRNA from 1 species
CCUACGGGAGGCAGCAGUGAGGAAUAUUGGUCAAUGGAGGCAACUCUGAACCAGCCAUGCCGCGUGAAGGAUGACGGCCCUAUGGGUUGUAAACUUCUUUUAUAUGGGAAGAAACUCAUCUACGUGUAGAUAACUGACGGUACCAUACGAAUAAGGAUCGGCUAACUCCGUGCCAGCAGCCGCGGUAAUACGGAGGAUCCAAGCGUUAUCCGGAUUCAUUGGGUUUAAAGGGUCCGUAGGCGGAUUUUUAAGUCAGUGGUGAAAGCCGACAGCUCAACUGUCGAACUGCUAUUGAUACUGGAAAUCUUGAGUACAAAUGAAGUAGGCGGAAUGAGUCAUGUAGCGGUGAAAUGCAUAGAUAUGACUCAGAACACCAAUUGCGAAGGCAGCUUACUAACAUGUAACUGACGCUGAGGGACGAAAGCGUGGGGAGCGAACAGGAUUAGAUACCCUGGUAGUCCACGCCGUAAACGAUCAUCACUCGCUGUUGGCGAUAUACAGUCAGCGGCCAAGCGAAAGUAUUAAGUGAUGCACCUGGGGAGUACGCCGGCAACGGUGAAACUCAAAUGAAUGACGG